AACGAACGCUGGCGGCAGGCCUAACACAUGCAAGUCGAACGCUCCGCAAGGGGAGUGGCAGACGGGUGAGUAACACGUGGGAAUCUUCCUGUUGGUUCGGAAUAGCUCAGGGAAACUUGGGGUAAUACCGGAUAAGCCCGAAAGGGGAAAGAUUUAUCGCCGACAGAUGAGCCCGCGUCUGAUUAGCUAGUUGGUGAGGUAAUGGCUCACCAAGGCGACGAUCAGUAGCUGGUCUGAGAGGAUGACCAGCCACACUGGGACUGAGACACGGCCCAGACUCCUACGGGAGGCAGCAGUGGGGAAUAUUGGACAAUGGGCGCAAGCCUGAUCCAGCCAUGCCGCGUGAGUGACGAAGGUCUUCGGAUUGUAAAGCUCUUUUGGCGGGGACGAUAAUGACGGUACCCGCAGAAUAAGCCCCGGCUAACUUCGUGCCAGCCGCCGCGGUAAUAC
rnacentral:rRNA from 1 species